rnacentral:rRNA from 1 species
UAGGGAAUCUUCCACAAUGGACGCAAGUCUGAUGGAGCAACGCCGCGUGAGUGAAGAAGGUUUUCGGACCGUAAAGCUCUGUUGUUGGUGAAGAAGGAUAGAGGUAGUAACUGGCCUUUAUUUGACGGUAAUCAACCAGAAAGUCACGGCUAACUACGUGCCAGCAGCCGCGGUAAUACGUAGGUGGCAAGCAUUGUCCGGAUUUAUUGGGCGUAAAGCGAGCGCAGGCGGAAGAAUAAGUCUGAUGUGAAAGCCCUCGGCUUAACCGAGGAAUUGCAUCGGAAACUGUUUUCUUGAGUGCAGAAGAGGAGAGUAGAACUCCAUGUGUAGCGGUGGAAUGCGUAGAUAUAUGGAAGAGUACCAGUGGCGAAGGCGGCUCUCUGGUCUGCAACUGACGCUGAGGCUCGAAAGCAUGGGUAGCGAACAGGAUUAGAUACCCUGGUAGUCCAUGCCGUAAACGAUGAGUGCUAAGUGUUGGGAGGCUUCCGCCUCUCAGUGCUGCAGCUAACGCAUUAAGCACUCCGCCUGGGGAGUACGACCGCAAGGUUGAAAC